rnacentral:rRNA from 1 species
GAUGAACGCUAGCGGCAGGCUUAACACAUGCAAGUCGAGGGGUAUAGGGAGCUUGCUUCCUAGAGACCGGCGCACGGGUGCGUAACGCGUAUGCAAUCUACCUUUUGCAGAGGGAUAGCCCAGAGAAAUUUGGAUUAAUACCUCAUAGUAUAGCAGUUUCGCAUGAAACCACUAUUAAAGUCACAACGGCAAAAGAUGAGCAUGCGUCCCAUUAGCUUGUUGGUAAGGUAACGGCUUACCAAGGCAACGAUGGGUAGGGGUCCUGAGAGGGAGAUCCCCCCACACUGGUACUGAGACACGGACCAGACUCCUACGGGAGGCAGCAGUGAGGAAUAUUGGACAAUGGGCGCAAGCCUGAUCCAGCCAUGCCGCGUGCAGGAUGACGGUCCUAUGGAUUGUAAACUGCUUUUAUACAGGAAGAAACACUCCGACGUGUCGGAGCUUGACGGUACUGUAAGAAUAAGGAUCGGCUAACUCCGUGCCAG